CAACCUUAAACCUCCUAUCUCGACAAUAUGGAAAUUUCCUUAUAUGAGGAUGUUGAAAUUUUUUCAUUUUUUUUUUCUGAUUGAUGACUGCUGGUAAAAUGAUAUGGUUAUUGUGCCCCUCAACCCAACCCGGAAGUAUAUAAUUCUUUUUUAAAAUAAAGUAAAAGUACACCCGGUAGAAGUAUAUAAUGCUUUCCUCACUCUGAAUCUGAAGCAAAAAGAGUGCUUCCAAAACAGUUUAUAAAAAAAAGGUAAGUUUGAGGAUCAGAUUUCAUCAGGGCAUAUGGACACAUUCAGAACAAUAAAAAUGGUCAGAAUUAAACAAAACGUAAAAUAGAAAAGAGCUCCAAAGUACACAAAUUCUAAAGGAGAA
rnacentral:lncRNA from 1 species